CAGCUUCAUCAUGUGCAACCCCCUUCCUAGACCAAUUUUUACUGCUGCUGGAAAGGUUGUCUUGAAUGCUCUUACAUCAUUAGGCUGUUACUCCAGCGCAUCAAAUGUUACAAGAGCACCUGUUAAACACAAACACACUUAACGCUGACCUAACUGCACAAUUAUUUCUUCUUACACCUCAUUACAAGAGACUAGAUAGAUACAAGCUAAAACAAAACAAAAAAAAUCCUAACUUGACAAUCCUUGUCAUACAAACACAUAAGUGCAAAGCCCAAAACUUGCUAAUAAUAAAUAUGAAUUAUUAACCCACUCGGUGGCUCUUAAAGCGAUUGGAAAAAGGAACAAGAUACAAAGAACAGGUGGCAUGGCCCUAUUUUUGCUCUCCGCCUGCCUUUGGGCGAGCAGUAAUGAGAUCUGAUAACUAGCCCUUUCUGACAUCCUGUCCUCAGGUGUGGACAUGUGGGGGAAGGUGACGGGCUGAAAAACAUGAAUCACCCCAAAAACGCUUGGUCUGUGAGAGAGAAUGGAGGGAAAAAAAAAAAAAGUUUUCCCCACCUCUCUGGGACACAAAUACAAAUAACAGACAUAAAAGCUACUCAUUAGUCCUACUGCUUUAGUUAAUUAAUCUGGAAGAAAUAUUACUAUUCUAUUCAAAUCAACGAUUCUGUGAUUCCAUCACCAGUCCUUCGUUGUGUUGUUUUUUUUUUUUUAAAUUAUUCCGAAAAAAUCUGACAACUUGAACAACAGCUUAAUGUGACCCCACAGGGGUACGCUGUUACUGCUGAGAAUCAAGCGUCACACUUGAAAUAGUGGGUCUGAAUGAUUCGUUUGCCAGUCCUCCCCCUCCAGGUAGGCCUAGCGAGCACCUGUCGAGGUCCGUGCAACCUGCUCGUGGUGCACAGCUGUUUCCCCGCCUAAUGAAGACAACAGGGGGACCGAAGAGGCGGCGGAACGGCUCACUAAGGAUUCUGAUGCAAUCCUGAGAAACCGUUCACAAAAAUGAGACGGGGAGGUAUUCUGAUUGGGGGAAAAAUAAUAAUAAUAAUAAUCAAAAGGAAAUGUGUGCAGUGCGGGAUCAGAAUCUGUCAACGCCUGAAGUUUAGGUGCCAAGGAAGUUUGAUUCGAGUGCCAGAGAUGCUGUGAUCUCUAUAAUCACGAGACAGACGAGUGUUCACCCAACUGAUAUUAUAACAGAUGACACUCCUUUCAUAUUCAGUCAAUAAUUUUGCACACAAUAGUCACUGCUGCAAGACGACUGCUAUGUAGAAAAGCCAUGAGCUGAAACAGAGUAUCAGUAUCUUUUUUAUACACAGCGGUAUUAAAGGUGCAUUAGGUAAGAUUAGUAUUUUUUUUUUUUUUAAUGAUUAGGUGGGAUCGAUAUUUAAAUAAUUCCCGCCCAUGUUCACGAAGCUCCGCCUCCAGGAUCAUCAGUGGCCUGGAGAGUAGAAGGUCUAUAAAAUGAUUGACAGGAGGUGCAUCUCCCCCGCCAAAAAAAGAAGAAAAAAAAAAAAAAAACAUUCUGGACCGGAAGUCAGUUUUCCCAAACAAGCUGUCUCAGCUAUUUAAUAAACCUUCGCAAAAACUAUGGGUUAAUCCAUUGUUUUCACAUAUCUUCCAGGUUAUUUGUACAAAAAAUACUGACUAUUGCACCUUUAAUGAUCCAGAUGUUGUGUUUUGUGUUACACACACAAUUACAUCUUUGAACAUUACAGACGUCCACAGAACUGAACAAGAUGCAAACUCUGAAGCAACAAUUCAUGCAAACCCUCCUGAAGCAUGAAAACAUUCAUCAGUGGUAGGAAAAUGUGUUAUAAUUUGCUCCAAAGAGACUAAUUGUAUUAGGAUCUGACUUUUUUUUUUUUCUCUCUCUUCCAAAUAGUGCUUUAUCAUAUAGGCCAUAUAGCUCAUUAGGCUGCUUAAUGAUCCACCUGUUGUGCAUUUGUACAACAGCUUUCAUGCAAUUAGGUCUUCAUGAAAGACAGGAACAAGACAAGGAACUCAGAACCAGGAAUUUAUGCACACGAGCAAAACUAUAGUCUAUGGAGGUGAUCUAGACAAUAUUAGACUGCAGUCGUUUCAUUCAUAUGAGACACACAUACAAGUGGAGAAGACGUCCAGCCUUCAUCCAUGAGGAACUCGCAAUGCAAUGUUUCCUGAGCUGAAGCCUUUCCUACAAUCCUGACCUUAAUCUCACAACGAGGCCUGGAAAGUACCUGCUAAUUGUCCUGAUCGAUUUCCCCCCCUCAGAUCCCAGUCUAGCUUCUGGAUGAGGAUGACCUCGGAGCAAGUAUGUUGCCAUGGGUACCGCUGGAUUUCGGACAACAUUUCUGCAUGCUUGGUGAUCAAAGAGAAGUCAGCAUGGUAGCUGACUGGCAGUCAUCAUGCAUCUGUGACUCAACUAUUGCAACCUUCAUCUCUGGAUUUCCUUCCUCGACUGUGGGUUGCUUUUCACAUCUUAUACUGAUAUACAUUCAAUGCAGAACUCAAGCAUAUUCAAGUAUUGUCUCUGAUUUAUAGAGUAGUACUGGCAACAAUAAGCAAUGGUAUGCAGACUUGCCCUCUUUUGAACUGUCUCAGUUAUGCUAUGCUAUCUUGCCAUCUAGCAAGAACUGUUAGCUAGCUAGUUUGUCAAAUAGUAUGUCAAAAUGGUAUGAUAACUAUGAUGAACCACUUGAUUAUUUUCUAAUAAUUGCACAAAGUGUCUUCUGCCAGAACUGUUACAGAAAAUGAAUCAACACCUUUUGACCAAUCAGAAUAGAGAAUUCAACAGCUCUGUGGUAUAAACAAUUAUGUGCUUUUUUAUGUAGCUAUUGACUUCGCUAGCUCAUCACUGAUUCCUGGUAGAAAGACAAACAUUUGCAUUUUGACUUUAAAACUUUUUUUUAAAUUUUAUUUUAUUUAUUUAUUUAAGAGAUUUCUGUAAAAUUUAUUUGCAUAAAUAUUUAAGUGCUGAGAAACAAAAUUUGACCUACUGUGCUUCUCUGUGGCUGGCACACAAUAUAACCCAGCAUUCAUUCAGCCACUAACAAAUGUGAAUGUCUAUGUAGACCUGUGCUACAAUGCUGGAGGUUAUGUUUGAGAUGGUGGAGGGCCUCAGGGAUUGUCUAGCCAGCUUCCCUCCACGUAUCUCUUUAAAGAGAAGUGACAUAUUCACUGUCAACAUCCAAAUGCUGCGUGGAGUCUGGGUGAAGCAGAUAGACCCUCCACACACACACACACACACACACACAGACACACUGAGAGCAGCAGCAUACACUGUCAUACACACCCAUCAUCUUCACAGCUUAGAAGAAUCCCACUUUUGUAAUGACUGUUGUAAGAGCGCAGUAGACAAUGGCUA